CAGCAGCCACGGUAACACGUAGGGUGCAAGCGUUAAUCGGAAUUACUGGGCGUAAAGCGUGCGCAGGUGGUUAUAUAAGUCAGAUGUGAAAUCCCCGGGCUCAACCUGGGAACUGCAUUUGAGACUGUAUGGCUAGAGUGUGUCAGAGGGGGGUAGAAUCCCACGUGUAGCGGUGAAAUGCGUAGGGACGUGGAGGAAUACCGAAGGCGAAGGCAGCCCCUUGGGAAUGUACUGACGCUCAUGUGCGAAAGCGUGGGGAGCAAACAGGAUUAGAUACCCCUGUAGUCCCUGUCUCUUAUAC
rnacentral:rRNA from 1 species